rnacentral:rRNA from 1 species
CCUACGGGAGGCAGCAGUGAGGAAUAUUGGUCAAUGGACGAGAGUCUGAACCAGCCAAGUAGCGUGAAGGAUGACUGCCCUAUGGGUUGUAAACUUCUUUUAUAUGGGAAUAAAACGUUCCACGUGUGGGAUUUUGUAUGUACCAUAUGAAUAAGGAUCGGCUAACUCCGUGCCAGCAGCCGCGGUAAUACGGAGGAUCCGAGCGUUAUCCGGAUUUAUUGGGUUUAAAGGGAGCGUAGGUGGAUUGUUAAGUCAGUUGUGAAAGUUUGCGGCUCAACCGUAAAAUUGCAGUUGAAACUGGCAGUCUUGAGUACAGUAGAGGUGGGCGGAAUUCGUGGUGUAGCGGUGAAAUGCUUAGAUAUCACGAAGAACUACGAUUGCGAAGGCAGUUCACUGGACUGCAACUGACACUGAGGCUCGAAAGUGUGGGUAUCAAACAGGAUUAGAUACCCCUGUAGUC